AAUCAACGCUGGCGGCGUGCCUCAGACAUGCAAGUCGAACGCGAAAGUCCCCUUCGGGGGAUGAUUAGAGUGGCGCACGGGUGAGUAACACGUAGGUAAUCUACCUUCGAGUGGGGAAUAACUCAGGGAAACUUGAGCUAAUACCGCAUAAUGCAGCGGCACCACAUGGUGACAGUUGUUAAAGCAUUUAUGCGCUUGAAGAGGAGCCUGCGGCGGAUUAGCUAGUUGGUAAGGUAAUGGCUUACCAAGGCUACGAUCUGUAACCGGCCUGAGAGGGCGGACGGUCACACUGACACUGAAUAACGGGUCAGACUCCUACGGGAGGCAGCAGUCGGGAA
rnacentral:rRNA from 1 species